GGUACCUCAGCUGGAAAUGCAGAAAUCACCCGUCUUCUGCGUCGCUCACGCUGGGAGCUGUAGACUGGAGCUGUAGACAGGAGCUGUUCCUAUUCGGGCAUCUUGGCUCCUCCUUGACAAGCUUGAAGGUGAGCACCUCGAAGGGCUUCUUUUUAUGUUGAAAGGCACGGGUUUGCAUGGCGGUUCAUCAGAGGUCAAUACCCCAGUUUGAGAAAGUCCACUGUGGGGAGGAAAGAGAGACUUAAACAAGCCCUGGAAAAACAAAGAAUGGAACACCCCUCCGCUGACUUCAACCAACUGCCUGCUGAUGCGGCCUGACUCCCAGCCCUUUUUGCAGUUUUGAAGUGACAAACUGACUAGGCUACAAAGUAUUCAACCAUGGGCUGGUUCUGGCUGGUUCACCGAGGCUGUGUACAAAGUGUCUUCAUGUCCUGUGUUUCACCUUUUAACAUACAGAACCUAAUUUUACUGCAUUUUAAUGUUAAUUCUCCACUCGAAGGUGAACAUGGGAUGUA
rnacentral:lncRNA from 1 species